rnacentral:rRNA from 1 species
UACGUAGGGGGGCAAGCGUUGUCCGGAAUUAUUGGGCGUAAAGCGCGCGCAGGCGGCCUUGUAAGUCUGUCGUUUAAACUCGGAGCUCAACUUCGAGUCGCGAUGGAAACUGCAAAGCUUGAGUGCAGAAGAGGGAAGUGGAAUUCCACGUGUAGCGGUGAAAUGCGUAGAGAUGUGGAGGAACACCAGUGGCGAAGGCGACUUUCUGGGCUGUAACUGACGCUGAGGCGCGAAAGCGUGGGGAGCGAACAGG